rnacentral:rRNA from 1 species
AAGUCGUAACAAGGUUUCCGUAGGUGAACCUGCGGAAGGAUCAUUACCGAGUAUCGGGUCCUCGCGGCCCGCACUCCAACCCUUUGUGUACCAACUUCGUUGCUUUGGCGGGCCCGCGGUGUAAUGCCGCGGCCGGCUCACGCCGGUUAGCGCCCGCCAGAGACCCGUUAAACUCUUGUUUAAACAGUGUCGUCUGAGCAAAAUCAUAACAGUUAAAACUUUCAACAACGGAUCUCUUGGUUCUGGCAUCGAUGAAGAACGCAGCGAAGUGCGAUAAGUAAUGUGAAUUGCAGAAUUCAGUGAAUCAUCGAAUCUUUGAACGCACAUUGCGCCCUCUGGUAUUCCGGGGGGCAUGCCUGUUCGAGCGUCAUUUCAACCCUCAAGCUCUGCUUGGUAUUGGGCAUCGCAGGAGCCUGUCUCCGGCGUGCCUCAAAGCCAUCGGCGGUGGUGCCUUUCUCUAAGCGUGGUAGAAUUUUUAUUCGCUUCUGAGUUGGGUCUCACCCGCCAGAUAAACCGGGCCUCGCGCCCACUUUCUUAGGUUGACCUCGGAUCAGGUAGGGAUACCCGCUGAACUUAA